CUGAUGCAGCCAUGCCGCGUGUGUGAAGAAGGCCUUCGGGUUGUAAAGCACUUUCAGUCGUGAGGAAGGUAGUGUAGUUAAUAGCUGCAUUAUUUGACGUUAGCGACAGAAGAAGCACCGGCUAACUCCGUGCCAGCAGCCGCGGUAAUACGGAGGGUGCGAGCGUUAAUCGGAAUUACUGGGCGUAAAGCGCAUGCAGGUGGUUUGUUAAGUCAGAUGUGAAAGCCCGGGGCUCAACCUCGGAAUAGCAUUUGAAACUGGCAGACUAGAGUACUGUAGAGGGGGGUAGAAUUUCAGGUGUAGCGGUGAAAUGCGUAGAGAUCUGAAGGAAUACCGGUGGCGAAGGCGGCCCCCUGGACAGAUACUGACACUCAGAUGCGAAAGCGUGGGGAGCAAACAGGAUUAGAUACCCUGGUAGUCCACGCCGUAAACGAUGUCUACUUGGAGGUUGUGGCCUUGAGCCGUGGCUUUCGGAGCUAACGCGUUAAGUAGACCGCCUGGGGAGUACGGUCGCAAGAUUAAAACUCAAAUGAAUUGACGGGGGCCCGCACAAGCGGUGGAGCAUGUGGUUUAAUUCGAUGCAACGCGAAGAACCUUACCUACUCUUGACAUCCAGAGAACUUUCCAGAGAUGGAUUGGUGCCUUCGGGAACUCUGAGACAGGUGCUGCAUGGCUGUCGUCAGCUCGUGUUGUGAAAUGUUGGGUUAAGUCCCGCAACGAGCGCAACCCUUAUCCUUGUUUGCCAGCACUUCGGGUGGGAACUCCAGGGAGACUGCCGGUGAUAAACCGGAGGAAGGUGGGGACGACGUCAAGUCAUCAUGGCCCUUACGAGUAGGGCUACACACGUGCUACAAUGGCGCAUACAGAGGGC
rnacentral:rRNA from 1 species